UACGGGGGGGGCAAGCGUUGUUCGGAAUUACUGGGCGUAAAAGGCUCGUAGGCGGCCAACUAAGUCAGACGUGAAAUCCCUCAGCUUAACUGGGGAACUGCGUCUGAUACUGGAUGGCUAGAGUGUGGGAGAGGGAUGCGGAAUUCCAGGUGUAGCGGUGAAAUGCGUAGAUAUCUGGAGGAACACCGGUGGCGAAGGCGGUUCUCUGGGCAUUACCUGACGCUGAGGAGCGAAAGUGUGGGGAGCGAACAGG
rnacentral:rRNA from 1 species